rnacentral:misc_RNA from 1 species
UUGAUUCAUUUGUUUGUUGCCUUUCGGCCACUCAGAUAAAACUGUAUAAAACAGAAGAGUUUGAAAUCUCCGGCGGACGCCUGAUUCCAGAGGCCGUGAAGCCACCUGGGACGAUCCGCCGAAGCAACAAUAUGGUAAGUUCACAUAGGGUUUGGGAGUUGAAUAAACUCGAUAAUGAUCCCUCCGCUGGUUCACCAACGGAGA